UGAGGCAGCAGGAUCACAGUGAAUUUGAGCCAAUCUGGAGUCUUGCUCAGGUCUACACCAGCUGUCUGGAAACUAACAGGCUGUGUUAAACUGCGAUCAAACUGAUCUCCGAGUCAUGAUCCUUCUGCCUCAGCCUCCCAAACGCUAGGGUUACAGGGAUGGAGACGCUGCAGCCAGCUGUUGAUGAGCACUGAACAACAAUCUUGCCAAGAGAUCGAGUCAUCCAGUGUGAGGUGGCUUGAAUAUUUCGAAAGUGCCAUUUUACCCAGUGUGGCCAGUCACGCGAACAUACAUCACCCAACACGCCCACAUUUUGGUUGUUUCUUUAAAUAAAUAAUAAAAAAGGCUUCAUUUUCAUCUUUAACAGUAAGUACUAA
rnacentral:lncRNA from 1 species